rnacentral:lncRNA from 1 species
AAGCUGCUUGCCGGUCUGGUGUUGUUUGGGCGGCGGAGUUGAGAGAUUUUAUGCCGCCGCAGCAACCUGGGGGAACGCCACCAGCACCAUUCCCUGUCAAGUAACCAAUGCAGGGUGCGAGGGAGCUUGUGACUUGACCACAGGUUACGGCCCCUUGAGCCAGGGGUGCACCCACCACCAUGCACAACACCGCCACACAUGCAAGCUUAAGGGACAUUGAGCUAGCCAUAUCGAUUAAUCACAAGAAAAACAAACUUGUAAGGAAAAUGCUUGCUUGGAGUAGUAGUACUAUUGCUGAUUGUCGUGGUUAGGGCUUGAGGGUAGGAGGGUUUUUAUAGCCAAAAGUAGUAGCGGGUGAUGUCUGAAUUUUACUUUCCUAGCUAUUAGGUAAGUUGAGAUUAUCCGAUCCAAACAUUAACACACCACAUUAAAAGUUGAGACCAUUCAAUUAGGUUCAACUGCCAACCUACGUGAUUAUUGUUUUCUUUCAAUACAAUUAAAACCAGCGUCCAUUUGAUUUCACUCAAUCAUGCCUCCACAGCUAGGACUCAAAUAUUGGUUUAACUUUUUUCUAGGUGUUUUCUUAUAAACAUGAGAUUUACAUUUGAUGUAUUUAUAAAUGCAUUUAUUGUCAGAAUGAUACCAUUUUAUUAAAAGUAAUUUGAUUUAUAAUUGUUUGUAUAUAUACUUUUAUAUAUUAAGUCUUUAAUUGAAUUGGUAUUACGAUUCACCCAAGCAUCUAUUUAAUUGAAAAUUUGUUAAAAUAUUCAUAUAACAAAUAUUAAUAUUAAUAUAAAUGUAUUUUUAUUUUUAUUAUAAAUAAAACUAUAAUAAGAUUUAAACUUAUGACUCAUAAAUUUUACUCUUUUUAACUUAACUAUUUCAACUAAAAUUUCAUUUAGUUUUAAUAUAAAUUUUUAUAAAUAUAUUAUUUACAUGAAUUUUCCUUUUCCAGGCGGUAUGCCAUGGAACUAAUAUAAAAUAUAAACAAAUGGUUAUUUUGUUAUUUUCAAUGGAAAAAAAAAACUUCACAAGAUUAGGACACAUGCAUGGUUUUUUUAAUAUAUAUAUAUAUAUAUCAUGCAACAUUCUAAAUCUAUUUAUAGAUUAUUUUGUUGAUUGAAUUUUUAUUUUUUUUUAUUUUGGUAAUUAUAUAAAACUAAAUAUUUUCUUCGCGCAAUGUUAAGAGCAGUUUGAAAUUUAAAAGAAGUGUGGAUUCUAAUAAUAAAUUUAGUUAUCUAAUGUUUACAUAUUUUAUUAAUUUGGUCUUAAAUAUAAAAAUUAAAUUCAACAAAAUUAGCCCUCAAUGUUUACAAAAUUUUUCAUUUUAAUUCAAAUUCUAAAAUAAUCCAAUAAAUUUAGCUCUCAACAUUUACAAAAUGAAAGGAUUUGAUUUUUAAAAUUUUAAUUUUUUUUUUUAAAAACCCAAAACACAAACCUAAAUAAACUGAAAAAGAAGAAGGAAUAAUUAUCAUCACCACGAUCUAAUCUCUCAACUUUAAAAUAAGACUUCAACUUCGGUUUAACCCCAAGACAAGGCGAAACAUUGAAAGUAAGUGCAGCGGAUGCCAUUGAUUCUCCUACCUUUUGGCUAAACACAUAAAUUUGAACAACUUCAUACAUAACUAGCAGCAGUACUAAAAAAUCAUUAAUACUAUAUUUUCAAGUACAAGAAAUUGAAAAAAGAAUCACGGGUAGAGUACAAAAAUGAAAUUUGGUGUGAACCUAGAUUAACAAAACAAGGUUCACGGUUUCUCAAAAACACAAUACUAAAUUUUUAGAAUUUCUUGUGAAGAUCAAGCAAUGAGACAAAUACUGAAAUUGGCAAUGCCUUAAUAGCAAAUAAUAAUUCAAACCAAUGUAGAAAAAAGAUGAAGAAGAAGAAGAUAGGAAAAGAAUUUUUAGUUUACAUUAAAAGCCUUGAAAAGGUAGACCGAUAGGAUUGAUUGUUUUGAAUAUUACUCAACUUUCUCAUUAAUUCUUGUACUAUUAUGGCUAAGUGUGUUUUUAGAUGGUAAUGAAUUUUUUUAAUUGUUAAUAAUUUUUACAAUUAUUACACUUGAUUUGGCAGUUGUUUUUCUUUUUAAUUUACAAAAUUUUAAAAAAUUAAAAAUUUCUAUUUUGUAAAUGCUAAGAGCUAAAUUUAUUAUUAUUUAUUUUAGAAUCUAAACUAAAGUGACAAAUUUUGUAAAUAUUUGGUGUUAAAUUUAUUGGAUUUUUAUAUUUAAAAUCAAAUUGAUAGAAUGUGUAAAGAAAGUUAAUUUUUUUAUUAGACAAAUAAAAAAUAACCCAUUUCAACACUUCCGAAAAAUUUUCAAACGGCCGUUAACAUUUAGUGAUGAAAAUAUUUGAUUUCAUAUAGUUUAAUAAUUAAAAUAAAAAUAAUUAAAAAUUUAGUAAUCAAAGUAAAACACAAGUGAUAUUAUUCUAGUGAUCAUUUCUGUACUUGACCCUAAUUUUUUUUUCAAAACACUGUUAAAAAACGAUUAAUUUCUCGUUUUGGCCGGAGUUAAAAUUUUUAAUAUAUUUGUUUUUAUUAAAUUUAAAAAUUAUAAUUUUACAUAAUAUAUUUUUGAUAGAAUACAUAUGAUAUAAUUUUAAUCAGUGACACCUGUUAAAGCUUGUUAGAUCUCCUGUAUCUCUUUCAAUCUGGUGGUAAAUGAAGCAAUCAAUGAGUAUUACAACCAGCCACAUGUCAUUCAAUUCACAUUAUAUCAAUCUUUUCCCUUUUCUCUCAUUUUGGUAGUUAAUUCCUUUUUUUGUCAUCGAAAUUAUAUUUUUUUCUCAAAUUGAUAAUUUCCUUAAUCCGUUAAGUUUGUUAAAAGAAACCUUAAUCUUAUUUAAAUUAUAUCUUUUUUUUUUUAUUUUGAUACUUAAACAUUUUUGUCACAUGUGGUAUGUAAUUUAUUUUUUCUUAAGUUGUUAGUUUAAUUAUUACUCAAAUAGUUAAGUCUAUUUAAAAAAAGAUAACUAUUUAAAAAUUACCAUAUUCGAACUAGCUAGGCCAUUAGUUCCUGGUUUAAUCAGUUUAUCUAGUUUGAUGAAAUCAAUUAUUAAAAAUUCAUAAAAAUAAAAAUGUUAAAAAAUAGAGAAAACUAGCUCAACUAGUUUUUUUUUUAAGCUCGACUCAAUCAAUCUGUAUCAGUUUGUAGGUUAAUCGGUUCAAGCCCUAUCUCCAAACUAGUAUCCCAGUUGGUUCCUAGUAUUAAGGGUGAGCAAAAUUUGAAUCGACUCGAAAAAAUUUAAAAAAGUUCAAAUUUUGAAUUAUUUGAAUCGAGUUAAUCGAAUCAACUCGAUUUUUUUUUAAUUUCAAGUUCGAGUCGAGUUGAGUUUUUGAAUUCAAAUGACUCGAAUAAUUCGAUUAAGCCGAAUACCAAACUAUAAUAUUUUACAUUUUACCUCAAACCCCAAACCCUUUUACUUUUCCCCCAAAACUUUACUCAUUCCUCCUUGUCUGCCCCUGUAACGCCCCAAAUUUUGAAUUGUUACUGUUAGUUUCUAUUUAUAAGUAAGUAUUUGCUUCAGUGGUUAAGUGUUAUGUGUUGGUGUUUGGAUCGGGGGUUCAAGUUACACUUUUAGAGAAUUUUAUUAUUCUUUUGUUUCAACUCUUAUCCUUGAAUGCUUGAAUUAAGUUUGUAUCUGCAUUAAUUUGUGUCAAGAAUGAGUCUUCUAGUUUAAUGGUUAAGUUUUGUAUUACCUAUGGUCUCGUGUUCGAGUCUCUGCGUAGGCAAUAAAGAAAUAUUUUGGCAUGCUAUCGGGAAAUCAGUUUUAUUUUAAUAAUUAUUUUUAUUUAAAACUUAUUUUUAGUUUUUUUUAUUUUGGUUCUUCUCCUUCCUUACUGUUCAUUUCCUUCUUCUUUUUUCUCCUUUUGUAACACCCCUAACUCGAAUCCGUCGCUGGAACAGGGUUAGGAGUAUUAUUGAAGUUUACAAUUUAAACAGGCAGAAAAAUUAAACAUUUCAUAACAUAUAGCAUUCAUGUUAGAAACCAAUCAUAAUUAUGCAUAUUGUCCCUAAUACGAGCCCUCGAGGCCCAAAAUACACCUUAGAAAUAAUUCGGGACUAAAUUGAAAAUUCGGAGCAUUUUUUAGAAACUUAUAAAAUUUUUAAAACUACAGGGGUCACAUGGCCGUGUGGCUAGGUUGUGUGACUCAUAUGGCCAACAGACACGCCCAUGUCUUAGACCGUGCGGGUAUUCGAAAUAGGGACACACGGUCGUGUCCCAGCCAGUGUCCAUGCCCGUGUAACUCACUAACUUGGGCCACACGGUCAAGCCAUACGCCCGUGUGCCAGGCAUUGUGAGCAUACUAACUUGCAUUCUUUAAAAGAUACAGGGGACACACGGCCAUGUCACCUGACCGUGUGUGACACACGCCCGUGUCUCUGCCCGUGUGGACAAAAAUAGGCUAUUUUUCAAGUCAUAAAUAUUCAUGUAUUCUUUAAAAGAUACAGGGGACACACGCCCGUGUCUCUGCCCGUGUCUCUGCCCAAUUUGGUACCAACCUAAACACAACAAUUUGCAUAUAACCAAGUCAUAAAUAGGCAUCCAAAACCAGCCAAAAUCAAGCUUAAAACAUGUAAUAUCAUCACAUACAACCAAUAUGCCCUUAGGCACCUCAAAUGACAACUUAUAAUAUUAAUAUUCAUGUAUUCAAUAUAGCCAAAUGUAUAACUCACUUAUAUGCAUAUUUUCAUCCAAAGUUUAUUAAGCAAAUUUACAUCAUUUCUUACCAAAUUACUUACCUUCCAAAACAUAUUAUUUGGUGCUAAAAUGUAUUUAACAUACUAACAUAUUUAACUUAUAUGCCUUACAUAUCCAGACACCAAUUCAUGAUCAAUUCUUCACAUUCCAAAACACAUAUAUGAAAUGCACAUUAGGUUACCUUUUUACCACUCUUUAUUCAAUCAUGAACCAAACUACAUGUCAACCAUAAUAAGCAAAAUAUGCACAUAUCCAAAAUUCCAUAACACAAACAAAACAAAUGGCUAAUCUCAACAAAACACAUAUAAGCCAACAUUGGCCAAACUAAUCUAUACAUGCCAUUAUAACCGAAAUUAAACAACCGAAUGUACCAAAAGAGCCAAUGGAUAGUGUGAUAUAGCUCCGACAAGCUUUCAACCAGAACGAGCUUUCGAAUCACUAAAAACACAGAAAAUAACACAGAGUAAGCAUUCAAGCUUAGUAAGUUCAUAUAGCAUAUAAUUUAACUUACCAUUUAGUCACAUUUAAGGUAAGCAUACAAAACAUAUCCAAACUCAAUUAGGAUAAAAGCCUCAACACAUAUCCUCAUCAACCAUGUUAGUCAUGUAAUUCAUAUAAAUAUCAAGAAACAUGUAUGAGCUCAACAAUAAUCAAACUUGCAUGUACAUAUAAUUUCCACAUCAUGUAUUUACAUAUCAUGUACAAAUCAUUUUCAUAUAUCUCAUGUAAAUACAUGUAGUAGUUUGUAUUGAACUCAUGUAAUAUCAUAACAGAACAGUGCCCGUUGAACCAUUUAGAUUAUUGUUGGAUACGCGGAUAGUACACAUGAGGUGUACUGAACUGUAAUUCAUCAAUUCAUGUACAUGUAUGCUCAUAUGAGCUAUAAACAGUAAGCUCCUCUGAGAUGAAUAACAAUAAGCUUGUACGAGCUGAAUAUCGGUAAGCUCAUAUGAGCUGAGUAUCGGUAAGCUCAUAAGAGCUGAAAUCGAUAACCCUAAUGACAUGUUUACCAAGCCAUGACAUUCCACUAACACAUUUAACCUUUAAAAUUAUUUCAAUUUACAAGUUUAAGAAAGAACAUAAAAGAUGAUACUUGGCUUUAUUUUACUAAAUUUUGUUAUUUACUUAAUUACUUAUUUAACCUUUAAAAUCAUUUCAAUUUACAAGUUUACUAAGCCAUGACAUUCCACUAACACAUUUAAGGGUUAUUUACCAUAUAAGGACCUCUACUUUAAAUUUUUAUAGCUAUUUAAUACCUUUAGCUAUUAGAACUUUACUUUUACACUUUACGCGAUUUAGUCAUUUUUAUCAAAUUGAACAUGUAAACGGUAAAAUUUCUUAACGAAAUUUUCAUAUGGUAAUAUUAUCAUGUUUUCGACCAUAAAAUAAUAAUAAAAUAAAAUUUUUUACUUCAUAUUUGUGGUCCCAAAACUACUAUUCUGAUUUCACUGAAAAUGGGUUGUUACACCUUUCUUGCUUGAUUGCUUCCGUAAGUUUGCUAUCGUGCUUAAUUGGGCAUUCUGUGUGGUUUCUUACAUUGAUUGCAAGGAUAUUGCGUAAGUUAUGUUGUUGUUUUUUACCUAUUUUUUCUAGACUUCGUCUGUUUCGUCGAGGUUAGAUAUUACUGUUAAUGGUUGUAAAAUCUCGUUAAUAGUUCCAAUGGAUCUUCUUUUAGGAAAAGGUUUCAAAAGUAACAUUUCCCUGUGAGAUUAGGUCCGAAUUGUUGUUGCUUGCUUGUCAGUAAUUGAAAAUUUCUAUUUUGGAUAGCUGCGUCGAAGUUUUCGACGAACGUUAGUUUUGAGUGCUAAUUUUGGCAUUUUGAGUUGAUUUAGUCAUUUAAUUCGUCAAUUAAUUGUCGUUUUAGGUUUCAGAUUCUUGUGUGUUGCUUCUACAUCGAAACUACAUCAAGUGUGUAACGAAAACUCAUUUUUCUAUGAUUUACGAAUGCUAGAAAACAUGGCUGUUAAUCACACGACCGUGUGUUAGGCCAUGUAACUUACUGUUUAUGUAUUAAAGUCACCGAGCCAAGGACGUGGGCGUGUGUCCUAGUCGUGUAACUUACUAUUUGUGGAUUGGAGUCACACAGGCUAGGGACACGUUUGUGUGUCCAGACUGUGUGAAGGAAAUUUUAUGAAUUGAGUCACACAAGCGUGUGCUUGACUAUGUCAUAGACCGUGUAACUCACUUUUUUGAGCCACACGAUCGUGUGCCAGGCCGUGUGAUAGAUCGUGUGCUACACGGGCCAGCCUUCCGGGACAUGUGAAUCCACACAAGUGUGUGGGUCAAAAUUUCAAAUUUUUUAUUAGGGCCGUAAACAUCAUUCCAGUCAAACGUAGGCCUACUGUAGGGUCUGGAUGAUCUGAUUUGGGUUAUAAAACCCAUUGACUAGUUAUCUGUUUCUGUAUAAACUGUUAUUUUAUAUACAUCAUAGAAUUGUAAACUAGAGAGUAGUUGUAUUCUGUAUUAAUUGAGUAUAACCUGAAAUUUGUAACAUCGUAUGCUUAUAUCUGUAUCUGUAACAUUGCAUCUGCAUUGGGGUUGGGAUUGAAUAAGGAGGAAGUUAUGGCAGUUAAAUAAUCUGCUAAGACUGGUGGCUAAGACACGUAAAUGUAUCUAAUUUUGGUGACUUUCGCAUUCUGUCCUAGCAAUUAGUCUGCAACCUUUUGAACGUGACAUAUGGUCACUAUGUGGUGUGUAGGGACGAUACCCUUUUUGGUGUGUAGGGUUGGAUGCAGAUGGUGUGUAAUUGACAUAUUCUACUCUAUUUCCGUAUAUAAUUCUGAGAACUGUUCUAACUUUAAGAAAUUGAAGAUCUAUUUUGUUGUUUCACUUAAUAAUAAUAUAAGUUAUACGCUAUGUAUAACACCCUUUACCCGAGACCGUGGUCGGAGUCGAGCAUGAGGUGUUACUUGACUUAACUUAAAAGUUCAGGGCAUAAAAAUUUACUUUCAAAAUUAAUUUCACCAUUCACAAUAAAGUUGUCCACCUGAGCAGCAGUCACUAAAUUAAUUAUAACUCAAGCUAAGAAACUCGAAAUUUAGAUUCGUAAAUUUUCCCUGAAACUAGACUCAUAUAUCUAUUCACAAAAAUUUUUCAGAAUUUUUUAUUUGACCAAUUAGUACAGUUUAUUAGUUGAAGUCUCCCCAGUUUCACUAAUCGACUAUCCUGACCUCUCGUCACUAAAAUUCAAUUAUCUCAUUAUACAGACUUGACAUGCUGAUUCCACUUAUUUAUACUUAAAAUAUACUCAUUAAGGAAUUUAAAAAUAUAAUUUAUAACUCAUAAUUCUAUUUGUACAAUUUUUAAUGAAUUUCUAAAGUCAGAACAGGGGACUUCAGAAUCAUUCUGACUCUGUCUCACUAAAAUUAAAAUAUCUAAAAGUAUAUAACUCUUUUGCUUACUCUAUUGCUUUCAUGUGAAAGUAGACUCAUUCAGAUUUAAUUUCAUCUCUCGCUAAACAUAUAAUUCUAUUUCUACAAUUUUUGGUAAUUUUUCAAAGUUACAUCAAUGCUGCUGCCCAAAAAUAGUUCCAUUGAAAUUUUUAAAAAAAAAUUCAAUAUAACCCCUUUAUAAUUAUCUAACCUUCCCUGCAAAUUUCAAAUCACAACCAAUUUCAGUAUUUCAACUACUUCACUUAAAUACUAAUGAAGUUCAACUAAUCAACCAUUUCAAACUAAAAACAUGUAUAGUUCAAUGUUUAACACAACCAUCACAUUCAAAUUUAUUCAUUCUAUUACUUUUUACUUCAAUUCCCUAUACAUGUCAUAUAAAUCCAAAAAGUUGUUUAACAAAAUCUACAGGAGUAAAUCUGGAUAGUGUGAUUCUUGGUGUAGAUCUGAUCCUCCGAAUGUAUAAAUACGUCAAUCUACAAGAAUCAAUAAACACACAAUUAAGCGUAUAGAAAGCUUAGUAAGUUCAUAGGCACCAAACAUAAAUCUUACCAAACAUUUAUACACUUAUACAUUAUACACCAUUACUAAGUUUACCUGUCAACCACAAUCUUUGGUGAGUUCCUUGGUAUAAACUCACUACUACUUAUUCUUUUACCAUAAUUCCUUUGGGCCCAUUUGUCACUUACCAUCCUUGAUCAAAAUUAAGGAACGGUUACGGAAAAUUGAGUACUUCACUUUCACUUUGCCAUAGUAUAACUAUGGUCUUACGUAUGAUCAAACAUCACUUGUCCUUGAUAAGAUAAGUGUAGCUAGGCAACCACUUAUCACUUUGUCACUUGAUCAGAUAAGUGCAGCUAAAGCUACCAUUUAUCACUUUAUCACCACUUAUCACUUGUUCUUGAUUAGAUAAGUGUAGCUAAAGUUACCACUUAUCACUUUGUCACCACUUAUCACUUGUUCCUAAUCAGAUAAGUGUAGCUAAAACUACCACUUAUCACUUUGUCACUUGAUCAGAUAAGUGUAGCUAAGCUAUCACUUAUCACUUUGUCACUUGAUCAGAAGUACUCAAAUCCGGUGUUCUGCUCAAUUUGAUCAUUUAUUCAGUUUUCACAUUUUUAUUUUAUUCUCAUUUCAUCAAUAAAUAUAUAUAUUUCAUCAUACAUUAUAUAAUUCAUGAAAUUAACAUUUAAUCAUUAAAUUUUAGCCAUAUGAACUUACCUGGGUUGAUUUGCUGAAUUUGUAAAAGUUUAGGGACUAAUCAGCUACUUUUUUUUUCCUCGACUUGUUUCGGGUUCUCAAUAUGAUUCAAAUAUAUGAAAAACCAACUUGGAGGGACUCUUCAAUGGUGUUUUUUGCUAAAAAAUAUGAGGAAUUGCCUAGAAACACUUUUAGUUAAGAUUUUUAUUUGUUAUUUUUUACAAAAUUUCCAAUUUUGCCCUUAUUACAUCACUUUUUCAAAUUUUUCUUCUCUUAUGUCGUCUCAACUAUUCCAUAUUGGCAUAUUUAUGCCUUAAGUCCCUCCUUAUUUACCACUUAAGCUAUUUAAUCACUUUUAACAAAUUUUACAUUAUUUUCAGUUUAAUCCUUUUUAAUUAAUUAACCACCCAAACGUUAGAAUUUUCUAACGAAAAUUUAAUACCAACUCAAUGACACUCCAUAAAUGUUUCUAAAAAUAUUUAUGGCUCGAUUUAUGAGGUUGAGGUUUCAAUACCUCAUUUUCGAUUCUAAUUAUUUUAAUAUUUAUUCUUAGUACAUUAUUCACUAUUUCAAAAAUUUUCCUAACUUCGCAUUUAACUUAUACUCACUAAAUUAAUAAUAUUUUCUACUCAUUUGUCAAAUUUAAUGAUCUCGAAUUACCAUUCCGACACCACUGAAAAUUCAGGCCAUUACAACUCUCCCCCCAUUUUGGAAAUUUCAUCACCGAAAUUUCGUACCUGAAAAUAAAUUCGGAUACUGAAAUCUCAGCAAUUCCUCUGUUUCCCAGGUUGCCUCCUCAGAUCCAUGUCGAUUCCAUAACACCUUAACUAGUGGUACAUGUUUAUUCCUCAACUCUUUAACCUUCUGAGCUAAAAUUUUCACCGGUUCCUCUGAAUAAGUCAUGUCAGGUUGAAGCUCUAUUUCCGUAUGAGGAAUUACAUGUGAUGGAUCUGAUCUGUACCGUCUCAACAUAGACACAUGAAACACAUUAUGAAUCUUUUCAAGUUCCGGGGGCAAAGCUAAUCUAUAGGUUACCGGACCGAUUCUUUCAAUGAUUUCAUACGGCCCGAUAAAUCGUGGGCUGAGUUUCCCCUUUUUGCUGAACCGCAAAACUUUCUUCCACGGUGACACUUUCAAAAAUACACGAUCACCCACAUUAAACUCUAUAUCCCUUCUCUUCAAAUUUGCAUAUGAUUUUUGCCGAUCGGAGGUAGCUUUUAAACAAUCUCGAAUAAUACGAACUUUUUCUUCAGUUUCCUGAGUCAAUUCCACUCCCACUAGUUUCGAUUCACUUAAUUCAGACCAAUAUAAUGGAGUUCUACACUUUCUUCCAUACAAAGCUUCAAACGGUGCCAUUUUAAUGCUAGUUUGAUAACUAUUAUUAUAAGCAAAUUCGGCUAAAGGUAAAUACCUUUCCCAGCUACCGCCGAACUCAAGUAUACAACACCUUAACAUAUCUUCUAAAAUCUGAAUCACUCGCUCUGACUGCCCAUCUGUCUAGGGAUGAAAAGCUGUGUUGAAAUUUAAUUUGGUGCCUAAAGCUUCCUGUAAUUUACUCUAAAAUCUCGAGGUAAAUCUCGGAUCUUGAUCUGAAAUAAUAGAUGUCGGUACCCCAUGUAACCUCACUAUCUCAGACACAUAUAACUCCGCUAACUUUUCAAGCUGAUAAUCUGCUCUGACUGGAAUAAAAUGUGCUGACUUAGUUAACCGAUCAACAAUCACCCAUAUUGAAUGUUUCUUCUUCAGAGUUACUAGUAAUCCAGAUACAAAAUCCAUCGUAACAUGUUCCCAUUUCCAAUCUGGAAUCAUAAUGGGCUGUAACAACCCUGUCGGCACUUGAUGCUCAGCUUUCACCUGUUGACAGAUCAAACAUCUUGCUACAUACUCAAAGAUUUCCCGUUUCAUUCCGGGCCACCAAUACAUUUUCUUCAAAUCACAAUACAUUUUUGUACUACCCGGGUAAAUAGAACACAUACUACUGUGAGCCUCUGAUAAAAUAUCAUUUUUCAAGUUUAAAUUAUUCGGAAUACAUAUUCUAUUACGAUAAUAUAACAUACCAUUUUCAUCAAUGGAGUAUUCUGAGCUUAACUUAUCUUGAACCAUCUGUCGCUUUAUCAUCAAUUUUGGGUCAUCAUCCUAUAACUCCCGAAUCCGUUGAAAGAACACGGGUUUAGCCUUUAAUUCUGCUAGUACAGAACCAUCCUCAUUAAUAGAUAAAUGAGCAUUCAAUGCCCGUAGUGCAAAUAAUGAUGAUUUCCGACUAAGCGCAUCUGCUGCGGCAUUUGCUUUCCCUGGGUGAUAGUCAAUGACAAGAUCAUAAUCUUUCAGCAACCCCAACCAUCGUCUCUGUGUCAAAUUUAACUCUUUCUGAGUCAUUAAAUACUUCAAGCUUUUAUGAUCAGUAUACACGUAACAUUUCUCACCAUAUAAGUACUCUCCAUAUCUUCAAAGCAAACACGAUCGCUGCCAAUUCCAAAUCAUGUGUAGGAUAAUUCUUGUCGUGCGGUUUCAGUUGCCAAGAAGCAUAUGCCACCACUUUGCCUGACUGAAUAAGUACACAGCCCAACCCAUUUACAGAUGCAUCACUAUAUACUACAAACGGUACACCCGAUUCUGGUUGAGUCAACACUGGAGCCUCUGUCAACAUCUUUUUCAACUGAUCGAAACUCCGCUGACAUUCAUCUAACCAUAUAAAUUCAACAUUCUUUUGUAGCAAUCGAGUUAACGGUAAGGUAAUCAUUGAGAAAUCUUUGACAAAUCGACGAUAAUAACCUGCCAAUCGUAGAAAACUCUGCACUUCAGUCACAUUCUUCGGAACUUUCCAAUUUAUCACUGCCGCUACCUUACUUGGAUCCACUCUUAUUCCAUCAGCUGAUACAAUAUGACCCAAAAAUGCAACUUCAUGGAGCCAAAAUUCACAUUUGCUGAAUUUGGCAUACAAUUGUUUCUCCCACAAAGUCUGUAAUACAAUCAUUAGAUGUUGUGCAUGUUCGGACUCUGUCUUUGAAUAAAUCAAUAUAUCGUCAAUGAACACAACCACAAAUCUAUCCAAAUAUGACUGAAAAAUUCUAUUCAUCAAAUCCAUAAAAGCAGCAGGGGCAUUGGUUAAACCAAAUGGCAUCACCAAAAAUUCAAAAUGACCAUAUCGAGUUCGAAAGGCAGUUUUCGGCACUUCACACUCUUUAACUUUCAACUGAUAAUACUCGGAUCGAAGAUCUAUCAUGGAAAAUACUGUAGCACCUUUCAACUGAUCAAACAAAUCAUCAAUAUGAGGCAAAGGAUUUUUAUUCUUUACUGUUACCUUAUUCAACUGUCUGUAAUCUAUACACAGUCUUAAAAAACCGUCCUUCAUUUUCACAAACAAGACAGGUGUACCCCAGGGCGACAUACUCGGUCUGAUGAACCCUUUAUCUAAUAACUCCUGCAGCUGCGCCUUCCGUUCUUUUAACUCGACUGGAGCCAUUCUGUAUGGUGUCAUUGAGAUAGGAGUUGUUCCGGGGAUCACAUCAAUUACAAAUUCAACUUCUCUAUCAGGUGGUAGACCGGGUAACUCUUCAGGGAACAUAUCAGGGAAUUCAUUCACCAUUGGCACUUGUUCGAGCUUCAAACCAGAACCCUGAGUAUCCAGGAUAUAGGCCAAGAAUGCUUCGUUGCCUUUGUGUAAUAACCUCUGAGCAGAGAGAGCUAAAAUAAUUCUGACUGUAUCACCCAGAUUUUCAGACCCAACUGAGAUUAUAUCUCCCGUUUGACAUUUCAAACUGAUUUGUUUAUCACGAUAAUUCACUACCGCAUCAUGUCUCAUUAACCAGUCCAUCCCCAGAAUAAUGUCAAAUUCCCGAAAAGGUAACAACAUCAAAUCAGCGAGGAAUUCAUAGCCUUUCACUUUCAGUGGACAAUUACGACAUAUCAAAUUAACCAUCACACUUUGACCUAAUGGGUUUGUGACUUGUAUAUCAAAUUCAGUGGACUCAACAGAUAAUUUCUUUUUAGAUGCUAACAUAGUGCAAAUAUAUGAAUGAGUAGAUCCAGGGUCUAUCAAUGCAUAAACAAUAACAUCAUAAAGAUAGAAAGUACCAGCAAUUACAUCAGGAGCCGUAGCCUCUUUCCUUGCUCGAAUGGCGUAGGUACGUGCUGGUGCUCUAUUCUCUGAUCGACCAACUGAUUCCCUCGUACCCGAACGGGUAGUCCCUGUAGCACUGCUCUGGCCCGAACGUCUACUUUUUUGGGGAAUGGUUCUCUGUAUUUCUUUCUGUUCCACUUCAUCUUUUUACAGUCGGGAACAAUCUCGAAUAAGAUGAUUAGUACCCUCACAUUUUUAACAAGCCCCUAUCUUGGUCCUGCAUUCUCUGAAAUGAUAUCUUCCACAAUAUUGACACUUAGGCCGGGGAGCAUUCUGAACACUGCUCACACUUGCUGGAGGUCUAUCGAAUACCCUGAAAUCAGAUUGUCUUGGUCUAUCUCUACCCGAUCUUCUCGACAGUGAUGUAGUUCGACUAAUUUCUUCUCUAGAUUUGUUCACUGGUAAAUCUAAAAAUGACUUAGAAGCACCUCUUUUGAAUGGCUCUUUACUUUUUCGAUCCCGCUACAUUUUUCUGUUGUAUACUUCUUCGAGCUUUUGAGCACGGUCUGACAGAACAGGGAACUCUCGUAUUUCAUUACCCCCAAUCAUCAUUCUAAUUUCAUCAUUUAACCCUUCUUCAAACCUGAUACACAUUUCUUCUUUAAUAAGUACAAUGUCUCGGGCAUAUUUGCUGAGGUAGACAAAUUCUCUUUCGUAUUCAGCCACUGAUUUAUCUCCCUGGCGUAGGUCGAGAAAUUCCCUUUUAUUUUUAUCCAAAUACCGUCUGCCCACAUAUUUCUUCUUAAAUUCAUUUUGGAAAAAUUCCCAAUAAAUUUUCUCUGUCGGAACCACAUCCUCAAUCGUCUCCCACCAACUAUAAGCUUCUUCUUUCAAUAGAGACACAACACAACUCAAAUAAUCAUCUAGUGAGCAAACCAUUUCUUUAAAAAUUCUUAUUAAACUCUGUAACCAAUAUUCAGCUUUGACGGGAUCUUUAUCAGUCCUUCCCCGAAAUUCUUCGGCUCCAAGUUUUUUAAGCCUUUCCAAUGGAGAACGCUUUCUGGAUUCAGUCGUUGUAAAAGGUGGAGGAGCAACCGGGUGUGCCACCGAUGGAGCAGUAGGGGGAGGAGGUGGUUCAGCCUGAUUUCUUUCUUGCCUCAUUUCAGUAUAUCAUUGAUUCAUAAUCCCAUAAAUCAUAUUCUUUAACUCUUGCUCUCGCAUUUGGGAGAUCGGAACAUCACUGCUUGUUCUUUGUUUAGAAUUAUGUAUUCUACUAUUAACUUCUUCUUUCUCAGUACGUUUAGGUAUAUCUGACAUCUCCAUAACCGGAGAAUAUCUACUAUUAACUUCUUCUUACUGGAUUCAGUCGUUGUAAGAGGUGGAGAAGCAACCGGGGGUACCACCGAUGGAGCAGUAGGCAGAGGAGGUGGUUCAGCCUGAUUUCUUUCUUGCCUCAUUUCAGUAUACCACUGAUUCAUAAUCCCAUAAAUCAUAUUCUUUAACUCUUGCUCCCGUAUUUGGGAGAUCAGAACACCACUGCUUGUUCUUUGUUCAGAAUUAUGUAUUCUACUAUUAACUUCUUCUUGCUCAGUACGUUCAGGUAUAUCUGACAUCUCUAUAACCGGAGAAUAUCUAUAAAAAUAACAAAGAUUAGAUCGCAUCAUACGCAUUACACUAUCACAGAUUUAUAUGGCAUGUAUUUCUAAACACUUUACACUUUACACAUAUUCCGAGAACCGGCUAAACCUGGAUCUGAUACCAAUAAAAUGUAACACCCUUUACCUGAGACCGUUUCCAGAGUCGAGCAUGAGGCGUUACUUGACUUAACUUAAAAGUUCAGGGCAUAAAAAAUUACUUUCAAAAUUAAUUUCACCAUUCACAAUAAAGCUGUCCACCCACGCAGCAAUCUCUAAAUUAAUUAUAACUCAAGAUGCGAAACUCGAAAUUUAGAUCUGUAUAUUUUACCUAAAACUAGACUCAUAUAUCUAUUCACUACAAAAUUUUCAGACUUUUUGGUUUGGCAAAUUAGUACAGUUUAUUAAUUGAAGUCUCCCCUGUUUCACUAAUAGACUAUCCUGACCUCUCGUCACUAAAAUUCAAUUAUCUCAUUAUACAAACUUGACUUGGUGCUUUCAAUUAUUUUUACUUAAAAUAGACUCAUUAAGGAAUUUAAACAUAUAAUUUAUAACUCAUAAUUCAUUUUGUACAAUUUUUAAUGAAUUUCUAAAGUCAAAAUAGGGGACUUCAAAAUCAUUCUGACUCUGUCUCACUAAAAUUCAAAUAUCUAAAAGUAUAUAACUCUUUUGCUUACUCUAUUGCUUUAAUGUGAAAGUAGGCUCAUUCAGCUUUAAUUUCAUCUCUCACUCAACUUAUAAUUCUAAGUCCACAUUUUUGGUGAUUUUUCAAAGUUACAUCAAUACUGCUGUCCAAAAACUGUUCCAUUGAAAUUUUUUUAAAAAAUUUCAAUAUAACCCUUUUAUAAUUAUCUAACCUUCCCUGCAAAUUUUAAAUCACAACCAAUUUCAGUAUUUCAACCACUUCACUUAAAUACUAAUGAAGUUCAACCAAUCAACCAUUUCAAACUAAAAACAUGCAUAGUUCAAUGUCUAACACAACCAUCACAUUCAAAUUUACUUUGCAUAUUUAGAUAUUCAUUCUUUUACUUUUUACUUCAAUUCCCUAUACAUGUCAUAUAAAUCCAAAAAGUUGUUUAACAAAAUCUACCGGAGUAAAUCUUGAUAGUGUGAUUCUUGGUGUAGAUCCGAUCCUCUGAAUGUAUAAAUACGUCAAUCUACAAGAAUCAAUAAACGCACAAGUAGGCUUAAUAAACACACAAGUAAGCUUAUAGAAAGCUUAGUAAGUUCAUAGGCACCAAACAUAAAACUUACCAAACAUUUAUACACUUAUACAUUAUACACCAUUACUAAGUUUACCUGUCAACCACAUUCUUUGGUGAGUUCCUUGGUAUAAACUCACUAAUACUUAUUCUUUUACCAUAAUUCCUUUGGGCCCAUUUGUCACUUACCAUCCUUGAUCAAAAUUAAGGAACGGUUACGGAAAAUUGAGUACUUCACUUUCACUUUGCCAUAGUAUAAAUAUGGUCUUACGUAUGAUCACUUAUCACUUGUCCUUGAUCAGGUUAGUGUAGCUAGGCUACCACUUAUCACUUGUUCCUGAUCAGAUAAGUGUAGCUAAGCUAUCACUUGUCACUUUGUCACUUGAUCAAAAGUACUCAAAUCCGGUGUUCCGCUCAAUUUGAUCACUUAUUCAGUUUGCGCAUUUUUAUUUUAUUCUCAUUUCAUCAAUAAAUAUAUAUAUAUAUUUCACCAUACAUUAUAUAAUUCAUGAAAUUAACAUUUAAUCAUUAAAUUUCAUCCAUAUGAACUUACCUAGGUCGAUUUUCUGAAUUUGUAAAAGUUCAAGGACUAAUCAGCUACUUUUUCUUUUCCUCGACUUGUUUCGGGUUCUCGAUAUGAUUCAAAUAUAUGAAAAACUAGCUUGGAGGGACUCUUCAAUGGCGUUUUUUGCUGAGAAAUAUGAUGAAUUGCCUAGAAACUCUUUUAGUUAAGAUUUUUAUUUGUUAACUUUUACAAAAUUUCUAAUUUUGCCCUUAUUACAUCACUUUUUCAGAUUUUUCUUCUCUUAUGCCGUCUCAACUAUUCCAUAUUAGCAUAUUUAUGCCUUAAGUCCCUCCUUAUUUACCACUUAAGCUGUUUAAUCACUUUUAACAAAUUUUACAUUAUUUUCAGUUUAGUCAUUUUUAAUUAAUUAACCACCAAAACGUUAGAAUUUUCUAACGAAACUUUAAUACCAACUCAAUGACACUCUAUAAAUGUUUCUAAAAAUAUUUAUGGCUCGAUUGAUGAGUUUGAGGUUUCGAUACCUCAUUUUCGACUCUAAUUAUUUUAAUAUUUAUUCUUAGUACACUAUUCACUAUUUCAAAAAUUUUCCUAACUUCGCAUUUAACUUAUACUCACUAAAUUAAUAAUAUUUUCUACUCAUUUGUCAAAUUUAAUGAUCUCGAAUUACCAUUCCGACACCACUGAAAAUUCAGGCCAUUACAACUCUCCCCCCAUUUUGGAAAUUUCGUCCCCGAAAUUUCGUACCUGAAAAUAAAUUCGAAUACUGAAAUCUCAUCAAUUCCUCUGUUUCCCAGGUUGCCUCCUCAGAUCCAUGUCGAUUCCAUAACACCUUAACUAGUGGUACAUGUUUAUUCCUCAACUCUUUAACAUCCCAAGCUAAAAUUUUCACCGGUUCCUCUGAAUAAGUCAUGUCAGGUUGAAGCUCUAUUUCCGUAUGAGGAAUUACAUGUGAUGGAUCUGAUUUGUACCGUCUCAACAUAGACACAUGAAACACAUUAUGAAUCUUUGCAAGUUCCGGGGGCAAAGCUAAUCUAUAGGUUACCAGACCGAUUCUUUCAAUGAUUUCAUACGGCCCGAUAAAUCGUGGGCUGAGUUUUCCCUUUUUGCUGAACCGCAAAACUUUCUUCCACGGUGACAGUUUCAAAAAUACACGAUCACCCACAUUAAACUCUCUAUCCCUUCUCUUCAAAUCUGCAUAUGAUUUUUGCUGAUCGGAGGCAGCUUUUAAGCAAUCUCGAAUAAUACGAACUUUUUCUUCAGUUUCCUGAGUCAAUUCCACUUCCACCAGUUUCAAUUCACUUAAUUUAGACCAAUAUAAUGAAGUUCUACACUUUCUUCCAUACAAAGCUUCAAACGGUGCCAUUUUAAUGCUAGUUUGAUAACUAUUAUUAUAAGCAAAUUCGGCUAAAGGUAAAUACCUUUCCCAGCUACCGCCGAACUCAAGUAUACAACACCUUAACAUAUCUUCUAAAAUCUGAAUCACUCGCUCUGACUGCCCAUCUGUCUGGGGAUGAAAAGCUGUGUUGAAAUUUAAUUUGGUGCCUAAAGCUUCCUGUAAUUUACUCUAAAAUCUCGAGGUAAAUCUCGGAUCUCGAUCUGAAAUAAUAGAUGUCGGUACCCCAUGUAACCUCACUAUCUCAGACACAUAUAACUCCGCUAACUUUUCAAGCUGAUAAUCUGCUCUGACUGGAAUAAAAUGUGCUGAUUUAGUUAACCGAUCAACAAUCACCCAUAUCGAAUCUUUCUUCUUCGAAGUUACUGGUAAUCCGGAUACAAAAUCCAUCGCAACAUGUUCCUAUUUCCACUCUGGAAUCAUAAUGGGCUGUAACAACCCUGUCGGCACUUGAUGCUCAGCUUUCACCUGUUGGCAGAUCAAACAUCUUGCUACAUACUCACAGAUUUCCCAUUUAAUUCCGGGCCACCAAUACAUUUUCUUCAAAUCACAAUACAUUUUUGUACUAACCCGGUGAAUAGAACACAUACUACUGUGAGCCUCUGAUAAAAUAUCAUUUUUCAAGUUUAAAUUAUUCGGAAUACAUAUUCUAUUACGAUAAUAUAACAUACCAUUUUCAUCAAUGGAGUAUUCUGAGCUUAACUUAUCUUGAACCAUCUGUCGUUUUAUCAUCAAUUUUGGGUCAUCAUCCUGUAACUCUUGAAUCCAUUGAAAGAACACGGGUUUAGCCUUUAAUUCUGCUAGUACAGAACCAUCCUCAUUAAUAGAUAAAUGAGCAUUCAAUGCCCGUAGUGCAAAUAAUGAUGAUUUCUGACUAAGUGCAUCUGCUGCGGCAUUUGCUUUCCCUGGGUGAUAGUCAAUGACAAGAUAAUAAUCUUUCUGCAACUCUAACCAUCGUCUCUAUCUCAAAUUUAACUCUUUCUGAGUCAUUAAAUACUUUAAGCUUUUAUGAUCAGUAUACACGUAACAUUUCUCACCAUAUAAGUAGUGUCUCCUUAUCUUCAAAGCAAACACGAUCGCUGCCAAUUCAAAAUCAUGUGUAGGAUAAUUCUUGUCGUGCGGUUUCAGUUGCCGAGAAGCAUAUGCCACCACUUUGCCUGACUGAAUAAGUACACAGCCCAACCCAUUUACAGAUGCAUCACUAUAUACUACAAAUGGUACACCCGAUUCUGGUUGAGUCAACAUUGGAGCCUCUGUCAACAUCUUUUUCAACUGAUCAAAACUCCGCUGACAUUUAUCUGACCAUAUAAAUUCAACAUUCUUUUGUAGAAAUCGAGUCAACUGUAAGGUAAUCAUUGAGAAAUCUUUGAUAAAUCGACAAUAAUAACAUGCCAAUCGUAGAAAACUCCACACUUCAAUAACAUUCUUCGGAACUUUCCAAUUUACCAUUGCCGCUACCUUACUUGGAUCGACUCUUAUUCCAUCAGCUGAUACAAUAUGACCCAAAAAUGCAACUUCAUGGAGCCAAAAUUCUCAUUUGCUAAAUUUGGCAUACAAUUGUUUCUCUCACAAAGUCUGUAAUACAAUCCUUAGAUGUUGUGCAUGUUCGGACUCUGUCUUUGAAUAAAUCAAUAUAUCGUCAAUGAACAACCACAAAUCUAUCCAAUUAUGACUGAAAAAUUCUAUUCAUCAAAUCCAUAAAAGCAGCAAGGGCAUUGGUUAAACCAAAUGGCAUCACCAAAAAUUCAUAAUGACCAUAUCGAGUUUGGAAGGCAGUUUUCGGCACAUCACACUCUUUAACUUUCAACUGAUAAUACCCAGAUUGAAGAUCUAUCUUGGAAAAUAUUGCAGCACCUUUCAACUGAUCAAAUAAAUCAUCAAUAUGAGGCAAAGGAUAUUUAUUCUUUACUGUUACCUUAUUCAACUGCCUGUAAUCUAUACACAGUCUUAGAGAACCGUCCUUUUUUUUCACAAACAAGACAGGUGCACCCCAGGGCGACAUACUCAGUCUGAUGAACCAUUUCUCUAAUAACUCCUGUAACUGCGCCUUCAACUCUUUUAACUCGGCUGGAGCCAUUCUGUACGGUGUCAUUGAGAUAGGAGUUGUUCCGGCGAUCACAUCAAUUACAAAUUCAACUUCUUUAUCAGGUGGUAGACCGGGUAACUCUUCAGGGAACACAUUAGGGAAUUCAUUCACUACUGGCACUUGUUUGAGCUUCAAACCAGAACCCUGAGUAUCCAUGAUAUAGGCCAAGAAUGCUUCGUUGCCUUUGCGUAAUAACCUCUGAGCAGGGAGAGCUGAAAUAAUUCUGACUGUAUCACCCAUAUUUUCAGACCCAACUGAGAUUAUAUCUCCCGUUUGACAUUUCAAAUUGAUCUGUUUAUCACGACAAUUCACUACCGCAUCAUGUCUCACUAACCAGACCAUCCCAAGAAUAAUGUCAAAUUCUCGAAAAGGUAACAACAUCAAAUCAGCGGGGAAUUCAUAGCCUUUCACUUUUAAUGGACAAUUACGACAUAUCAAAUUAACCAUCACACUUUGACCUAAUGGGUUUGUGACUUGUAUAUCAAAUUCAAUGGACUUAACAAAUAAUUUCUUUUCAGAUGCUAACAUAGUGCAAAUAUAUGAAUGAGUAGAUCUAGGGUCUAUCAAUGCAUAAACAAUAACAUCAUAAAGAUAGAAAGUACCAACAAUUACAUCAGGAGCCGUAGCCUCUUCCCUUGCUCGAAUGGCGUAGGUACGUGCUGGUGCUCUAUUCUUUGAUCGACCAACUGAUUCCCUCGUACCCGAACGGGUAGUCCCUGUAGCACUGCUCUGGCCCGAAUGUCUACUUCUUUGGGGAAUGGUUCUCUGUAUCUCUUUCUGUUCCACUUCAUCUUUUUACAGUCGGGGACAAUCUCGAAUAAGAUGAUUAGUAGCCCUACAUUUUUAACAAGCCCCCAUCUUGGUCCUGCAUUCUCCGAAAUGAUAUCUUCCACAAUAUUGACACUUAGGCCGGGGAGCAUUCUGAACACCGCUCACACUUGCUGCAGGUCUAUCGAAUACCCUGAAAUCAGAUUGUCUUGGUCUAUCUCUACCCGAUCUUCCCAACAUUAAUGUAGUUCGACUAAUUUCUUCUCUAGAUUUCUUCACUGGCAAAUCUAAAAAUGACUUAGAAGCACCUCUUUUGAAUGGCUCUUUACUUUUUCGAUCCCGCUGCAUUUUUCUGUUGUAUACUUCUUCGAGCUUUUGAGCACGGUCUGACAGAACAACGAACUCUCGUAUUUCAUUACCCCCAAUCAUCAUUCUAAUUUCAUCAUUUAACCCUUCUUCAAACCUGAUACACAUUUCUUCUUUAGUAGGUACAAUGUCUCGGGCAUAUUUGCUGAGGUAAACAAAUUCUCUUUCGUAUUCAGCCACUGAUUUAUUUCCCUGGCGUAGGUCGAGAAAUUCCCUUUUAUUUUUAUCCAAAUACCGUCUGCCCACAUAUUUCUUCUUAAAUUCAUUUUGGAAAAAUUCCCAAUAAAUUUUCUCUGCUGGAACCACAGCCUCAAUCGUCUCCCACCAACUAUAAGCUUCUUCUUUCAAUAGGGACACAGCACAUCUCAAAUAAUCAUCUGGUGAGCAAACCAUUUCUUUAAAAAUUCUUAUCAAACUUUGUAACCAAUAUUCAGCUUUGACGGGAUCUUCAUUAGUCCUUCCUGAAAUUCUUCGGCUCCAAGUUUUUUAAGCUUUUCCAAUAGAGAACGCUUACUAGAUUCAGUCGUUGUAGGAGGUGGAGGAGUAACCGGGGGUACCAUCGAUGGAGCAGUAGGGGGAGGAGGUGGUUCAGCAUGAUUUCUUUCUUGCCUCAUUUCAAUAUACCACUGAUUCAUAAUCUCAUAAAUCAUAUUCUUUAAUUCUUGCUCUCGCAUUUGGGAGAUCGGAACAUCACUGCUUGUUCUUUGUUCAGAAUUAUGUAUUCUACUAUUAACUUAUUCUUACUUAGUUCGUUCAGGUAUAUCUGACAUCUUUAUAACUGGAGAAUAUCUAUAAAAAUAACAAAGAUUAGAUCGGAUCAUACGCAUCACACUAUCACAGAUUUAUAUGGCAUGUAUUUCUAAACACUUUACACUUCACACAUAUUCCGAGAACCGGCUAAACCGGGAUCUGAUACCAAUAAAAUAUAACACCCUUUACCCAAGACCGUUGCCCGAGUCGAGCAUGAGGCGUUACUUGACUUAACUUAAAAGUUCAGGGCAUAAAAAUUUACUUUCAAAAUUAAUUUCACCAUUCACAAUAAAGCUGUCCACCUGCGCAGGAGUCACUAAAUCAAUUAUAACUCAAGCUACGAAACUCAAAAUUUAGAUCCGUAAAUUUUCCCUAAAACUAGACUCAUAUAAAUAUUCACCAUAAAUUUUUAAGAAUUUUUAGUUUAUCCAAUUAGUAUAGUUUAUUAGUUUAAGUCUCCCUUGUUUCACUAAUAGACUACCCUGACCUCUCGUCACUAAAAUUCAAUUAUCUCCUUAUACAGACUUGACAUGGUGCUUCCAAUUAUUUUUACUUAAAAUAUACUCAUUAAGGAAUUUAAAAAUAUAAUUUAUAACUCAUAAUUACUUUUUUACAAUUUUUAUUGAAUUUCUAAAUUCAGAACAGGGGACUUCAAAAUCAUUCUGACCCUGUCUCACUAAAAUUCAAAUAUCUAAAAGUAUAUAACUCUUUUGCUUACUCUAUUGCUUUCAUGUGAAAGUAUACUCAUUCAGAUUUAAUUUCAUAUCUCACUUAACUUAUAAUUCUAUUUCCACUAUUUUUGGUGAUUUUUCACAGUUACAUCAAUGCUGCUGUCCAAAAACUGUUCCAUUGAAAUUUUUAAAAAAAAUUCAAUAUAACCCCUUUAUAAUUAUCUAACCUUCCCUGCAAAUUUCAAAUCACAACCAAUUUCAGUAUUUCACCUACUUCACUUAAAUACUAAUGAAGUUCAACCAAUCAACCAUUUCAAACUAAAAACAUGUAUAGUUCAAUGUCUAACACAACCAUCAUAUUCAAAUUUACUUUGCAUACUUAGUCAUUCAUUCUAUUACUUUUUACUUCAAUUCCCUAUACAUGCCAUAUAAAUCCAAAAAGUUGUUUAACAAAAUCUACCAGAGUAAAUCUAGAUAGUGUGAUUCUUGGUGUAGAUCCGAUCCUCCGAAUGUAUAAAUACGUCAAUCUACAAGAAUCAAUAAACACAUAAUUAAGCUUAUAGAAAGCUUAGUAAGUUCAUAGGCACCAAACAUAAAUCUUACCAAACAUUUAUACACUUAUACAUUAUACACCAUUACUAAGUUUACCUGUCAACCACAAUCUUUGGUGAGUUCCUUGUUAUAAACUCACUACUACUUAUUCUUUUACCAUAAUUCCUUUGGGCCCAUUUGUCACUUACCAUCCUUGAUCAAAAUUAAGGAACGGUUACGGAAAAUUGAGUACUUCACUUUCACUUUGCCAUAGUAUAACUAUGGUCUUACAUAUGAUCACUUAUCACUUGUCCUUGAUAAGAUAAGUGUAGCUAGGCUACCACUUAUCACUUUGUCACUUGAUCAGAUAAUUGUAGCUAAAGCUACCACUUAUCACUUUAUCACCACUUAUCACUUGUUCCUGAUCAGAUAAGUGUAGCUAAAACUACCACUUAUCACUUUGUCACCACUUAUCACUUGUUCCUGAUCAGAUAAGUGUAGCUAAAGCUACCACUUAUCACUUUGUCACUUGAUCAGAUAAGUGUAGCUAAGCUAUCACUUAUCACUUUGUCACUUGAUCAGAAGUACUCAAAUUCGGUGUUCCGCUCAAUUUGAUCAUUUAUUCAGUUUUCACAUUUUUAUUUUAUUCUCAUUUCAUCAAUAAAUAUAUAUAUUUCAGCAUACAUUAUAUAAUUCAUGAAAUUAACAUUUAAUCAUUAAAUUUCAGCCAUAUGAACUUACCUGGGUCGAUUUAUUGAAUUUGUAAAAGUUCAGGGACUAAUCAGCUACUUUUUCUUUUCCUCGACUUGUUUCGGGUUCUCAAUAUGAUUCAAAUAUAUGAAAAACCAGCUUGGAUGGACUCUUCAAUGGCGUUUUUUGCUGAGAAAUAUGAUGAAUUGCCUAGAAACUCUUUUAGUUAAGAUUUUUAUUUGUUAACUUUUACAAAAUUUCCAAUUUUGCCCUUAUUACAUCACUUUUUCAGAUUUUUCUUCUCUUAUGCCGUCUCAACUAUUCCAUAUUAGCAUAUUUAUGCCUUAAGUCCCUCCUUAUUUGCCACUUAAGCUGUUUAAUCACUUUUAACAAAUUUUACAUUAUUUUCAGUUUAGUCCUUUUUAAUUAAUUAACCACCCAAACGUUAGAAUUUUCUAACGAAACUUUAAUAUCAAUUCAAUGACACUCUAUAAAUGUUUCUAAAAAUAUUUAUGGCUCGAUUGAUGAGUUUGAGGUUUCGAUACCUCAUUUUUUAUUCUAAUUAUUUUAAUAUUUAUUCUUAGUAUACUAUUCACUAUUUUAAAAAUUUUCCUAACUUCGCAUUUAACUUAUACUCACUAAAUUAAUAAUAUUUUCUACUCAUUUGUCAGAUUUAGUGAUCUAGAAUUACCAUUCCGACACCACCGAAAAUUCAGGCCAUUACAUUAUGUUUAUUGACUCAUUUUUUCUGUUGACUGAAUUUCAGGUAACUCAUCGACUUAGGCGGGUCGGCAUGGCGAGAGCUCGGUCAUCCUUAUUUAGUAAUUUUCUGUUUAAAUUAAACUUAUGCUAUAGUUGUUUUAUCUUGAAUUACAGAUUGCAAAUUUAUAUUUCUACACUAGUUCAACUAUUUAAACAUUUUCUGACAAUUAAACUUUAAUUAGUUAAAAGUGAGAAUUUCUUAAAUGAUUUGUUGUAGCUUUCCAAGCUUGGUCCUAACAUCUAGGUCGGGUUUGGGGUGUUACAACCCAAAACCCCCAAACUUUCCCCUCAAAACUUUUACUCCCCCACCCUUUCUCUUUCUCGCUCACCCUCCCAAACCCUUUUACUUUUCCCCCAAAACUUUUACUUCCCACUUUUACCCCCAAAUCAAAAAUCAAAAUCCUCCCAAAAAAAUCCUUAAACCUAAAUAGUAAUAAUUUUAUUUAUGGCCACUAUUUAUAUUAUAAAUUAAAUUUCACAUUUUCUAUUAUUUAUAUUAUUAAAUUGUUUAAUCAUUUUGAAUCUUUAUCAAUUUCUGUUAAAACUGUAUCAUUGAUGAUGUCAUACAUUAUUUGUGUUAAAAAUUUCUAUUGGUAUCAAUUUCACAUUUUAUCUUUAAAAUAAAUUUUAUUAAAAAAAUUACUUUUUUACAUUUAAUAUAUUUUUUAAUUUCAAAAUAUAUGGUGACAAGAAUUAGAAGAUAAUUGAAGCAACUAAGCAAGUAAAAAAGCUAACAUGUAUAUAAAAGAUUAAAUAAAUUAUGAAGGGAUGAAAGUUAAUAACACAUUUGAUUACGGUGGACAAAUUUGAUAAUGAUGGGUGACAGUGGCUACAAGGAUCCAAAGUAAUUUUUUCAAUUAACUGGAAACAAAUAUAUUCGAUUCGAUUCGAUAAAAUUUGAAAUCAUUUUAGGAUGAUAAAAUAAGAUUCGUCAACUCGAUUAACUCGAAGUUUUUUCAUUUGAUUCGAUUAGACGCUCACCCCUACAAAGUAUGACCGAUUGGUCUGAUUCUGAAAAAAAUUGGUUUUGAUCAAUGAAAGAACUUUUACGAUGGCGACAGGUCUAACAAACAGGUGAUAUUUUGAAAAGAAAAUUAAUCUCCAUAGUCUCAACCUUAGGAGGGUGAAUUUUGAGCAUUGCAUUUGUUGUCAUUGUUAGACAUUAUAAAGGAAGAAAAAAGAAAGAAAAAAGUUAAAAUGAGGGAAAUUAUUGAAAAAAAGAGAGAAGAGAAUAAUUAAUUUUUUUUAAAAUUUUACAUGUCAAUCUAUUAUUGAUUAGAUUUUUUUAAUGAGUGUAACAUUUUGGUGUUAAAUGGAUAAUAAAAAAAUAUUUUAAGUAUCAUUUAUGAUAAAAAUAUUUAGGUAUCAAUUUGAAAAAAAUAUGUAGCUUAGAUACUAAUUGAUGGGUUAAUUUUUUUAGCUUAAUAAUUUGAUUAAACCGAAAUACCAACUGAAAAAAAGUUUACUCGCCGCUUAUGAAAAAAAAUAAGUAUGAAUUUGUAAGUUAAAUCUCCCUAAAAGAAAAAAUAUAUCACAUUCAAUACGGGGUGAAUGAAGCAAUGAAUGCAAUGGGGUAUUACAACCAGCCACAUGUCAUUCAAUUCAUGUUAUAUCUACCUUGUUGGCCCCACAGGCGGUCUUUUCCAUUAUUUUCGAAGUGAACGACAUGAGUCGGACCUAUAUCGGCCCCAACAAACAACCUCAACCACUUGUUUUGUUAGGUUGUUGACUAAUUUGAAUAUGUCGGCUCAAAGCUUUUUGAAAAUUAAAUUAUUUUUUAUAUUAAUAUCAUAUAGGUAUAAAAAUUUAACGUUUUGUAAAAAAAAUAAAUUUAGUGUUAAAUUUAAAUAAUUAUAAAAAAUUAUACAAAAUACAAAGACAACUUAGAGUCAAUAAAAAAAAUAUGGAAAAUCAAUUCAUACAUGAAAUGGCAUAAAAAUAUUAUGAACACUAUACAAAUAUAUGAAUGUUUUUAUAUCUAUAUAAAAUAAGUUAUUAACGCUUAAAUUUCAACCAAUUAAAUAUUAAUUUAACUAUAAACUAUAAAAAAUUAAAAUUUCAUUUACCCUAAACAAUUAUUCUAAUUUCGCCCCUGUAUAAAAUAGUUGUAAUAUUAAAAAAAAAGUUAUACGAAUAUGGAGUGUUAAAAAAAAAGGCUUUCAACUUUUAAUAUUCCAAACAAAUAAAAGAAAUAAUAAUAACAGUUUACAAGUGCAAUAAAAGUAAUACAUAUUUGAUGAAUUAAAAAUAGAAUAAAUAUAACUAACUAUAACAGAAAUAUAUUUAGAUUUAAACCAAAUUUUUUUGAAGAUGAAAUUUGAACUCACAAAUAAUAUUUAUAAAUGAUGAUAUGUUUUAGAACAUGUAUAUUUUAAUUUCAUUUGAUAUUUAAAUUAAAUGAAUGAAAUGAGUAUAUUAGCAUAAAUAUAUUGAAUUUCUAGAUUUAUUAAAAAUCCAACUAAAUAGAGUAGAUCCAUAAAUUUAAAAAAUGAUUAUGGAUUUUGAAAUAUAAAUCUAAAAUUUAAAAUCUGAAACCCUCCUAAAUGUUUUCCAAAGUAAGGCGGGGAUAAAUGGUAUAGGGAAGACGGUGGGUAGAUAGAUGUACGGUUUAUUUAUAACUUCGUUUUUAUUAGUCGGCUUACAGUUUCAUAAAAAGCAUCCGUGCAAGGCAUGUUCAAAUGCUGCACUAGCAUACCACUACUAUAAAAAAAACACAUACAAGAGCACCACAAAUUUAUCCCAAAAUACAUUAAAUAAAUGACUCCUAAGGGUGCCAGAUUUAACUAGUGUGUCUGGGAUUGUAUUAGCCUCUCUGAGGCCAUGUGAAAAAAUUUAAUGUUAUUGUUAUAUUUCCAUCUCGAUACGUUGCAAGACAUGAAGCAAUCUGUAAACAACUCUCUUUUGGAAGCAGUUUGCAUACGACUCUUCGCUAAGAACCAUUUGUUGUGAUCUUUCGCUUAGGAUUGCUCACAAAUGACCCCCAUGCACCCUAUCUCUCUCCCUCCUUAACUCAUCAUCUUGAACUCUCAUCCUAUUAUAGGUGAAUCGAGACUCUUCUCCUCCACCCUUUCCUCGUUGGUUACUUGUAGCAAAAAAAAUUAAUUUCACCGAAAAUGUUGGAGAGAUCCCAUGGUCUAAGUGUGUUGUUAGAGCAAAGCUCGAUGGCAAAUUUGGAGUCAAAUUUUAGAAUCAACCCUUUAAAAUCCAUUACACCGUAAAGGAAAAUUUUUACAAUUACAUUAACAAUAAAUAUUCAAAAUUUACUCAUCUAUCUAUACUUAUAUUAAGCCUUAUUUGAGUUGGAGUCAAGAGUCAACUAGGUACUAACUCAGUUGAGAAUUUACUAAAUAAUUUUAAUAUAAAGUAAAAAAAAUAUUAAUACGAGGGUGUUUUUAUCUUUUCAUAUUUUUAAAUAAAAAUACUAUAAUAAGAUUUAAACUUAAGUUUAAAAUUUCAAUCAAAACAUCACUUAAAUUUAAAAUAACAUUUUUAUAUAAAAUGUGUUUAGAUUCUAAGAUAAUGAAAUUUAUGAUGAGGUAUUCAAAAUGUGUUUGAAUAUGCUAAUGAGAUAUUCAAAUUGGUAUGCACAUUCCUAAUCAGGGAGCAUUAAUGAUAAUUUAGUAAAAUAAAUUAUCUCAUUAGCAUAUAGUUUAUUAUAAAAUUAUUGUGUAAAAUAAACAAUUCACAAACUUAAGAAUUUAUAACACAAAAAUUAUACAUCAAUGUUGUUAGAAUUGUAUUAUAUCCAUCGGUUGAAUUUAAAUUUAAAAAUUUAAUCAGCGAUAAUAAUUAAAAUCGUUUCAAACUAGUAAAAUAUUGAAAAUUAAGAACUAAUAAAAUAGAUUCUAAUUAUUUUUAUUUAAAAAAUGUUACCUUCUUAUUCAGGUUACAUUAAGACAAACCCAUCUUAAUUAUAAGUAUCAUAUUGUGAAUGGUAAACUUCUUACACAACAUCCACCAUUUGUCCAAAUAUGUUAAAUUAGGUGCAACAUAGAAAUUUUAUUGUAAGGAGUGAAUCUCAUUGUUUUUAUUUUCAUCAAACAUACGUCUAACUUUAUUAUUACGGGAUUAGAACUUAAAUUUGAUAAAUUGUGUGGUUUUAGGUGAUUUCUUUUCGUUAAAUUUAUCUAAAUCAACCUAACACUCGAAAAGUGAGAAUUCUCCUAAAAAUUCUUUAUGUUAGCAAAAAAUAUAGUGGAAGUAACUUGAAACGAAAGAGCAAUGAGAGAAUUGAAAAGACACAAGAAAAUAAUGCAUACAAGGUGUUUGAGUAAAUGCUCUCAAUAAAUUCUUUAACUCAAGAAGGAAUGAAGUACAACCAGUAUCUAGCCCCCCUAAAAUAGAAAAUUUUCCAUUUAUAUACCUUUAUAAUUUAUAAAAUUUAAAAUUUUACUUUCCCAUAAAAUGAUAAAAAAUUGAUUUAUUUCUUUAAAAAUUAUAAAGAUGACUAUUAAAAUAGUAAAAUUGUAUUUUUAUUAUUGUAAAAAUAUACAAUUUAAUUCUGUCUCCCAAAUUUUUUUUUUUUGGUUUCAUCCCUAAGUACAAUGAUCGUUGUAGCAGGAUACAUAGGCAUUCUAGCACAGAAUGCAAAUAUGUUGCCAAUUAACUUCGAGUCAUGGCAUAAAGUGCCCGAGAGUAACAAGAACCAAGCUCUCGAUAACAUUAAGGUAACAAAAUGUGUAUAUCAUUUAUAAUACUUGAGUUUAAGUUUCGUUUACAUUUACUUUCUGAAGUUGUGUUUUUUGUAGGGGAGAUUUGCUCUAGAGGUCUCCGAUGCUUAUGUAAAGAAGGCAUUGGGAAAAAGAUGGAGAGACCAUAAGAGCACUUUAAAGAAAGACUAUUUUAAGACAAAAACAACACUCGACGAGAGAUUACAAAAUGUCACGCCGGGAAUGCUGAGGUACCAGUGGGAAGAAGUCGUUAGAUUUUGGACUUCGAAGAAAGGAGAGGUAUGUGUUACUACAAAAAUCUUGUAAUUAUUUUGGUUUAUAGUAUUUACUAAUUAACGUACUAAUAAUUUCAUAACGUAGGAUCGUGAACGAGUUGGAACAAGUAGUAGGCAGAAACAAAAAUUCACGCACACAGCUGGGUCGAGAAGUUUUGCGUGUGUAGCUCAGGCCGAGGUAUUUUGAAUUUUUUAAUACUGGCAGAUAUUUAUUACUUUCUAUCAAAUAAUAUUUUUACUAUUGUAUUGUAGGAAGUGUUGUCGGGUCAAAAAGUUGGACGCCUUCAACUUUUUGACAUUACACAUAGGAAGAAAGAUGGAAACCCUAUGACUCCUGAAGCUGCAGAAAUUAUGGUACGUUUGCUUAAUACAAUUUGACUUGUUUUAAUUAUUUAUGCUGUUUAUUUUCUAAUGUUUUUUAUUACAUUUCUUGUAAUGCAAAUAUUGUUAAGUUAUGUUGCAUUUGUUUUGUUAAUAUAUGUUGCGUUCUUAACUAUGUGAUUUAUUUUUUAGGAAAAACUGAAGGAUAAAAAGGCGGAGUACGAAGCGAUUGCUUCCAGUGAUAGUUCUGUUCAUAUUGACGACAUUGAUAACCGGAUUAUCACUGAAGUUUUGGGUCCUGAAAGGUAUGGUCGGGUUCGAUUUCAAGGAUCUUUUGUUAACCCAUCCCAAUAUUUUGGAUCCAGCUCGCAACAAUACAUGCAUUCGGGGAGUCAGGCUCAAGCUGAAGUUCAGAGGUUAAGAGACCAGAUAGCUCAGAUGCAAGCGGCAACGAGUGAGCAAAUUACACAACUUAAAGCGGAGGCAACAUCGAGAGAAGCUGAGGUUCAAAAAAGAUAUGAAGAACUCCAGCUACAACUUAAAGCAGAUGCGGCAGCGAGAGAAGCAGAGGUAGCAGCGAGAGAAGCUGAGGUUCAACGAAAGUAUGAGCAACUGCAGCAGCAGCUUAAAGAAGAUGCGGCAACGAGAGAAGCAGCGGCUGCAGCGAGGGAAGUAGAGGCUGCAGUGAGGGAAUCAGAACAGCAUAAAAAGUUCGAUGAACUCCAGCAGCAGCUUCAGAAUAUGAUGAAGAUGUUUCAGCAGUCGCAACCGCCGUCAUCUUAGACUAUCGUUUAAAUAUACUUCAAUUUUGACUUUGGUAUUAUUAUUUUAACUUUUACAAUUUCUGUCAGAAUAAUACGAAUUUUAUUUUAUUUAUUGACAUUUAUUUUAAAUAUUAUAUAGAUUUGGUUAGAUUUGGUUGGUUGGAUUUGGUUUCUUCUGAUUUGUUUUUAUAGGAGGGGGCUGAAAUUUUUUUUUUCAAAUCUGCAAAAAUUAGCGGCGUUUUUUUGGAUAAGCGCCGCUAAAGACCAUCGUCUAUAGUGGAAUUUUUUGGCUAAGCGCCGCUAAAGACCAUGGUCUAUAGUGGCAUUUUUCGGCUAAGCACCGCUAAAGACCAUGGUCUAUAGUGGCGUUUUUUGUCUAAGCGCCGCUAAAGACCAUGGUGUAUAGUGGCAUUUUAUGGCUAAGCGCCGCUAAAGACCAUGGUGUAUAGUGGCGUUUUUUGGCUAAGCGCCGCUAAAGACCAUGGUCUAUAGUGGCGUUUUUUGUCUAAGCCCCGCUGAAAACCAUGGUCUAUAGUGGCGUUUUUUGGCUAAGCGUCGCUAAAGACCAUGGUCUAUAGUGGCGUUUUGUGGCUAAGCGCCGCUAAAGACCAUGAUCUAUAGUGGCAUUUUUCGGCUAAGCGCCGCUAAAGACCAUGGUCUAUAGUGGUGUUUUUUAGGCUAAGCGCCGCUAAAGACCAUGGUCUAUAGCGGCGUUGCAAAGAAAACGCCGCUAAAGACCAUGGUCUAUAGUGGCGUUUUUUAGGCUAAGCGCCGCUAAAGACCAUGGUCUAUAGCGGCGUUGCAAAGAAAAUGCUGCGAAAGGUCUUGAUCUUUAGCGGUGUUUAUUAUAAAAAGCGCCGCUAAAGUUACCGACGCUGUCAUUAGCGGCGAUCCUUGCGGCGCUUCGUAAAGCGCCGCUAAAAGUAUUUGCGGCGCUAAAAAAUGCCGCUAUAGACCUAAAAAAGCGCCGCUAAAACCCUGUUUUGGUGUAGUGUGAGAUGAUUACAAAUGAAGGGGGAGAUCUCUAUUUAUAGUUGAGCUCCCCUAGAUCCAAUAGUAUAGAUUGAAUUACAUCAACGAUUGAGAUUAGUACUUAUCUACAAGAUGAGUCUUAAGGAUUUUAAACUCUAUACAUCUUUAUCCCUUAGGAUUUACAUUAAUUACUCUGGUAACUCUAGUUUUACUGGAGAGUUUCACUGAACCACCAAAGGUUUAAGUAGAUGAGCUUCUCCAUAUGUUCCACGAGUUGGACAAGUUCAAGCGGAUCAAAUGAGCCCAAUUUAAUUAGUUAAUCUCAAUAAAACGUUCUAUGCACAAUGAUCAUGAACUUUGAUCCACAUCUCAAAAUGAUCAGAUGAAUAAUCUCUCUUAAUUAUAUUUUUAUAAAACUUGAUAUUUUCAUUUAAAAAGAAACACAAUCACAUAUAAUAAUGUCUCCAAAAGAGUCGUCCACUUCAAAGAUUUAAAGUAAUGUAAGAAUGAACCCAACAUUUUUCAAUUAAAAAUAUGUCGAUAGAUAUAGCAAGUUGUAUAACCUUUCAAUUACAAAACAGAUUUCAAUGGGGAUUGCAUCCGGUACAUGCAACUAAAGAACAGAACCGGUGCAUAAAUUGAUUUAAUUAAACUUUGGGUUGAGUAAUCAUGAUUUUCAUUAUUAUUAGACUACGUGAAUGUUGAUAUAAAAUGCUUGAGAGAAGGGUAUAGAAGAAACACAAAAUAAUGAGUGAUAUUAAUUUGUAGAUAAAGAUAAUAUUACAUAGUCGCAAAAAGCGACCUAGUACACAACGCACAACUCUAAAUUAGGAUAACUCCUCUGCUAUCCCUAUGGAUGGAUUUUAACAUCCAUAUUUAUUCUGUAGCUAUCGUUAUUUUGGCUUCCACUAGCUGGUGAACUUUCCAUGCCAAAACUUCACUUAACCCUGCAAAUGAAACAACAAAAAACACAACAUUAAAUGUUGAGCAAUUAAUAAGCAUAAGCAAUGAAACAACUCAUACGAACCUGCUGCAGUCAGUGCUAGGGCUGAUCUUGUAAGGGAUGUUGACACCGCACUUGCCUGGGAGUCCGCUUGCAAUACCAUAGUUGAUGCCAGGAAUGCCGGCGGCCGCACUUUUGAUGCAUUUGCAAGCUGCUUGCCGGUCUGGUGUUGUUUGGGCGGCGGAGUUGAGAGAUUUGAUGCCGCUGCAGCAACCUUGGGGAACGGCACCAGCACCAUUCCCUCUCAAGUAAUUAAUGCAGGGUGCGAGGGAGCCUGUGACUUGACCACAGGUUACGGUCCCUUGAGCCAGGGGUGCACCCACCACCAUGCACAACACCACCACACAUGCAAGCUUAAGGGACAUUGAGCUAGCCAUAUCGAUUAAUUACAAGAAAAACAAACUUGUAAGGAAAAUGCUUGCUUGGAGUAGUAGUAGUAUUGCUGAUUGUUGCGUGGUUAGGGCCCGAGGGUAGGAGGGUUUUUAUAGCCAAAAGUUUUGUGAAGGGAUAUGGAACGAACUGAGAAACACGUACGAAUAGAAUAUGGUUAGGCGUUGGUAGUUGUCCCAAUUCAAUGCCAAGGUUUCUUUUUUUCUUUUUCAUGUUUCAGCUUAUGGUUGAGUGUGUUUAAUGCUUUGAAAAAGGUUUGUAUCUACCACUUUCAUCUUCAUCACUAAUGCUGAAUUACUCCGUUGAUUAAUGCAUCAUAUUAGCCUUGUCCUAGUGUUACCGGUUUUCUGAUAUUAGUAGCUUUACCAAUAAAAGAUGCUAUCAAAUAUAGUUUUCAGGAUGAUAUUAAAAAUUAAGGUUUUUUAGUUACAAAUAAAAUUGUCACAUUAUCAAAUUUUAAAGAUAUGAAAUUAUUAUUAUAAACUCAUCUAUAGAGAAAUUAUUUUAUGAGCCCUUUCCACCACAUUAUUCACAGUCCAUUUUCAAUUAUUUAAUAAUAUUUCAACAAUAUUUUUCAUGUCAUUGACACAUAAUUUUAAUAAAUUUUUUACCCUGAACCUUGAGUCUAGAAUCCCAAACCCUAAAUAAAAAACUUAAAACCCCAAACUAUAACCCCAAACACUUGCAUCAUAAACUCGAACCGCGAACCUCAAACUCAUAAUCUGUAACCUUGAACCCAAACUUGUAAUCUCGAACCCUUGAACCCUUGAACCCUGAACCUAAACCUUGAACCCUGAACUCAAAGCCCAAAACCAAAACUGAACCCUGAACCUUAAAUCUCAAACCCAAACCUUAAACCUCGAGGUUUGGGUUCAAGGUUCAAGGUUCAGGGUUUGAGUUCAAGGUUCGAGGUUUAGGAUAAAAUAAUUACCAAAAUUUGUAACAGAAUAAAAGAGUUCGUUUAUAAUUUAAAAAGCAAUUAUUUUAAGUAAUUUAAUUAAAGUGAAAUUAAGUUAGAGAAAAUAUUAGAUAUAGAUGAGUGUAUAAUAAUACUUUAUUGUCUUUAAAAUUUAAUGACGUGGUACUAUUUUAUUGGUGCCUCAAACUAUACUUUUUAGAAUAAUCCUAAUACAAUUUAUUCCCAUAUUAAAUACGUAUGCUUUCUAUAUUUUUUCGAAAAAAUAAAUUUUAUUCAUAAACUUUCUAUAUAUAAAUAUAUGUUUUAUUUAAAAUUUAUAAAUACAGAAAAAUUAAAAUAUAAAUAUAUGUCAAAGUAGCUAUUAAGUGUAGAAUUAAACAAUUAUAACAUAUAAAUAGAUUAAAAAUUAGGACAAAAAAUCAAUCUAUUACAUAAAAUAUAAAUUAUGAAUGAAAACAAUCUAAAUUAUAGUCUGGCUAAUCAAACUAAAACUUACAUAUAACCAUAUGACUUUAAGGGUCUUGAAUAUGGUUACUUAAAAGCUUAUAGUUCAGCUUUUACCCACUACGUCAAGGCUUCAUUUACGUUUUUUUUAACCAUAUAUUUUUCAUAUAAUUAUAUAUAUAUAUUUUGCAUAAAAAAUCCCCAAGACGUUAAUUACUUCUAUAUAAUGUAGCGAUUAAGUCCUCAAACAAAAAUUGCUCAACAUCAAUGCAUGUAUAGAUCAAUUUUAUAUAUCAAAGACCAAUACUAUCUUUUUCUUAAAAAAAAAAAAAAACCAAUAUGUUGUGAUUGCUUAGCUAUUGUUCCUAAGUCUUCCUGAAAAAGGUUUCACAGCGAGAGGAGAAAAAAAAAAGUUGAACUUGUCUUGGUUUGCCCCAUAAUGAUUGAAGCAUAGACAAGAUUAUAAAUGUUAAUUUAGUAUACGACAUAAUAAUAUAAUAUAAUAUAUUUAAAUGUAUAUCUCCUCACCUCCUAGACGCUGUCAGUUAUUUUAUUUUUUGGGAUUCUUUUAACAAAAGGUUGAGCUUUUUAUUAGGUUUUAUUUGAUUUUUCAUUUAUUAAUAUAAUUUUUUUAUUUUUAUAUAUUUUAGUUAUUAUUAAUUUUUGUUGGAAAUUUGUACGGUCUUGUUCUAACAACAAUUACAACAAGCUUUUUGGAACAAUCAAAAGUUUUGGGUGUUGGCAUGUUUGACUUUUAAUGGCUUAUGUUUUAAUAUUAGUUAACAACAAAUGAUAAGAGAAUUUCAUGGUAAAUUAGAAUAUAAUUAUCAUCCAUUUGAUUAGUCUUGAAGAGGAAGGAGAGGAGUUUUAACUUUGGUGGACACCCAUCCUUAUCCUUGUCUUUUAGAGUGUUUGAAGCUAUUGGAGAACUUGGUUUUAAAGAUUUUAUUUGAUAAAUAUUCAAAAUAAUUAAUUUGAUAAUUUCAACUUUUAAAGGAGAGUUUAAAACUUAUCAAAAUAUUAUUUGAUAAACACUUGUAGAGGCGUAUAAAUAGGCAACAGUGUGGUGUAACUUUGUUUGUUGUUUUGGAGUGUCUUAAACUUUUAUUUUUUUGCUAUUCCAUUGGGUAACUUUAUGACACUCUCUUUUUAGGUAUUAUUUGGAGAUGUUUAGUAAUUGUAUUGUGAGGAAUUUGAGUGAGUGAUUGCAUUGAAGAAAUGCGACCUAAAUGUAUAUGUUAAACUCUUAUCUAGGACAUAAAUUCCAUGAACAAGGUACCCAUGUUAAUAACAUGUCACCACUUCGCAUCUUUAUGGUAUUGACCCUAUGUAGUUAGACCCUAUAUGACGUAAACAACACUUAUAGUGUGCACGAUAUCGUAGGCUUGAACGUUGAUUGAAUGCAACCUAUAUUUUGGUGCCUUUGUCGGAAAUGAUGUAUGCAUCGGGUUGCGGUACAAAUGCCUUCUCAGGUUAGUUAAGAAGAAAUCCCAUUCAUCAUUGGAUUCUUCAGGAGUUAUUACAAAAGCUAUUGGCAGGAUUUUUAGGUUACCAUCUUAUGCAACAACUACUAACAACCGAUGGUCGCAUAUUCUAUACAGGAAUGUGCCGUUAAUUUGGAAAAGUGGCUUACAGUACCAAAAUGUAGUUCUGCAUUGCUUAAAAGUCCAAAAGCAACGGUGGAAAACUCCUUUUCCAGGGACCAAGCAAUCGUCAUAAUACGCAGGCUCCAUUUUUAACUUGGUUACAGAACCUAGUAUGUACCACUCUAGUAUCUAACACCAUUGCCACAAUUUAUAGUAGGAUUUCUCCCACCCUCUAUUCAUUUUCUCCAAUGCCUUCUAUUUUUGCAACUAUGUCUUAUGCUAGGACAUGGUGUAAUCGGAUUCUCUACAGAUGUGUGCGAUCAAAAUUGGGACCAGAAUCGUAGGACUUGCUUUUGCCAUGGGUAAUAGAAUUUUAGAUAUCAUGUCUAAAUCUAAUUUUGGAUGAUCAUUCGAUAUGCUUGAAAAACAAGAAAUCAAGUCACUAUGUGUAAUAGAAUGUAAAAAAAGGCUAGGAUUCGAGUCGAUGUUGUUAGCCAUAUUACAUACCAGCUACAACACAUGUAUGUGGCACGAUAAAUUUCCUACGUUUAAAAUGCCAACUUCUUCGUCAUAAAUGCCAUGAUUUUCCAUAGACAUCUUGUUGCACGCAUUGUGCGCAUCGCCUUAUAUUUCUCGGAUUGAGAGCAUGUAAUAGUGAAGUUGACACCAAGUUGUAUGCUAUACUACUUGAUUGUAGCUACAAAAGCAUAUUUGGAGUCAAAUUCCAUCCCAACCUCUAAGUGGUCGAAAUUUGUUGAUGAAGUCGCAUACCUUAGUCUUCUACGGGGGAGGUCUGGGAAUUCUAAAACCACUUUCACUAGUAAGACUGAGAGUACGCAUAUGGGGUGGGGGUUUGUAUUUCGUGAAACUUAGGUCAUCCCCUCGAGCGAUGUCUAAAGCUUGACCAUUAGAUCCAUCGUCUUCUAGUUCAGUAGGAAUGGGAUCUAGUUCUAAAAUUACUACAAUUUCGCACCAUCCAGUCCAACCACCUCUCCUGGGUCAUUAUCUGAUUUAGACCCCUCUUUGACCACUUUGUUCUCUUGUCCCUCUUUGUUAUCAACCCUGGUUGUAAGUCCAGGGUUGGAUGUACCCUCUCUGGUCAAAGUUGUCAAGAGUAGAUCAUUCAUUCUUGUAAAUCCGAUGUCAAUCCCAAAAUCAAUUCUGUUUGGCCUACCCAGUAACUUGAUGGUGUACCAUAUGAGUGUUAUCGAGGUUGAACAUAGGUGUGUCAAAGUUGAAACCAAAGGCACUGAUAGAAUGUUGUGCGGCUGUGUUGUAGGCCUGGUGACCGAAUACGUCUAACUAUCCCCCGAAGUUGAAAUCGAGGGAUGAAAUCGAUGAAUGCCUCACCAUUGAUGAUGUUAAUAAUGUGUCUUUGUAUAAGCUUUGUAGAAAUGAUCUGAAUCCACAACAAAACCGUGUGGCCAGACUUUUUGCUUCUUGAUUUGGCUAGAAAUUUGGCGGACACGGUAUAAUCGAGCUUGGGCCACCUUUUUCCUCUUCAGCAAAGACUGUAUAUUCUCACUAGAGUAAUGAGUUUCGAUCACUGUCUUCAAACCGUUGUCCCCUGUGAUCUGAAAAAUGGAAUAUCUAACGGGGUUAAAUGAUGUUAGAUAUCUACAUUUCAGGCUCAAAAUUCUUCUUCAGAUCCCUACUUUAUGCCUAAACCUUGUUCAAAGCUCUUUUAACGUUAUGCUCUAGUUGAAUGUCAGAUCUUUAGAUUGGGUUGAUACAAAAAUGGGCUCAAUUUCAGCCUCACAAUUUUGACCGUUGUAAUGGACAAUAGCUCUGGCUCGUCUCCUCAUCUUGAACCAAAUAUUCUAUUCCACAUGUUUAAAAUCGAGAAAAUUGUAAAAAUAUAGUUCUCAUCACCCAAAUCCCUAAAUUUACACUUACUUUAAUGAAAUACCUUUGCUUCGACAAUAUUGUCAGUAUAAAAUUUUUGUUUUUUACUACAACAUCGAUAACUCCUAAUGCCAACAAUCUGCUUCAAACAUCUGUAUGGAAAAUCCAAGAAUUAUAUUGAGUUUUUUUAUAGAGCCUUUUCCUCGACGCACAUGAAACGAUUCUAGCAACAACACAUGUCAAGGCAUUAGUUGUUUUUGAGGUAUACACUAAAAAUUAAAAUUUGUGGGGGAGAAAACGUUCCCCGCAACGAUGUUUUUCAGCACCUAGACAUAGCAUUGAAAUUUAUCCUAGGAAUCCCGGGUUGUAGGGGCUUAGAGGUUGAAGCAAUCAAGUUGGCUUGGGUAUUGAAAGACCAUAAAGAAAAUGCCUAUUGCAGGAAGCAUUUCCACCUGACUUGGCAAUCAAAAUGCCUCCUGCAGGACGCGUUUUCCAGCCACAUCUCUGAUAUGUUAGUCGAAAACGCAUCUUGCAAGAGGCGUUUGUACUGCCAUGUUAGGUAAAAACACUUCCUGCAGGGAACAUUUUCUUUAUGGCCAUUUCAACACCCAGGCCAACUUAAUUGCUUCUGCCUCUGAGCCCUUACAACACGGGAUUCUCGGGAUAAAAAAAUUUCCCUUUUUACCCCACCCCAUCCCUUAUAUAAAUGCAUGUUCUCAUCCCCUACUCACCCAUAUCUCAGUCUCCUUUAAAUUAUUUUUUUCUUUUUCUUCCGUGUUGAAAUUUUCAAGUUUAAAGAUUUAUUUCUCUCACACUUUGAGGGGGAUGUAAUCAUAGUUUUAAGUUGUGUUUGAGUUCACAAUAAUGUCGUGGCGCUUGAUAACUUACAAAUUUCACUUGUCGUGUGAGUAUGGAGCCAUCACUUGAGAAAUCGAGAUCGCUUUGCAACUCGAGGUCCAAGUUGACGGUGUAAAUAAGGCUUCAAGUUUACAAAGGUUAUGCUAUUAAAAGGAUGGAGCAAAACCGGGACUGUAGUUGAUGAUGGUGAUGCAAGCACAAGAACUAGUUUUUCCUCAUUGGAAGAGCAUACUUUAUAAAAUCCAUAUACAAGUACGAGGGAGAAAAUCACAGGGGUCUUCCAGUAUAAUCAAGUAAUUCAUUUUAUCCUUUUCCAGCAAAGGCAAUGACCCUGUUACUAAAACCUAUUACAUCCCAAUUCUAUCAUAGGUAAUAGUAACGGUGUCACUGUCUUUGGUGGAGAUGGAUAAAAAAAUUUACUUAAUUAUACUGAGAUACCAUUGCAUUUUUCUUCCUCGUACUUGUGUAUGAGUUUUAUAAAGCAUCAUUUUCUAAUGAAAAAAGUUUUUUGUCGUGCCCGCAUAACCAUUGUAAAUUACAGCUCCAAUCAUACUCCGUCCUUUGAUAGCGUAACAUUUUGUAAACUUGAAGCUCUAGUUACACUUCAAUUUCAGACCGUAUAAUCACCCUUAACUGGGACCAUGAGUUGCAAUGCGAUCUGGCUUCUCGGGUGAUGGCUCCAUACUCACAUGACAAAUGAAAUUUGUAGGUCACCUAACUCCACGACACCACCAUAAAUUCAAACAUUCCUUAAAACUAUAACAGUGUCUAUCUCAAACAAGAAUGAAAAUAAAUGUUCAAACUUCUAAUUUCAAAUUGCAAGAAAAAAAAAAGAAAAAAAUAAAUUUUAGCAAAGUAAAAAUGGGUCCUACCGGCACAUUUUCAUUGCCACAUCAAUGAAAAUACACCUCGUACGACACGUUAUUCUUUCUUCGUAAACAAUGUAAAUCAAUAAAUUUAAAAAAAAAUUAUACAUUCUCAAAUAACUCUUUUUUUCAGCAUUUUUGUUAAAUUUAUCCCAUAAUACUGCUACUUCUUGUUUCCUGGGUUAUUUUUAUUACUGCUGGUUGUACCACCCUCCUACUGUGCGCCGGUUAUAGCAACUCACUCAAGAUUCUAAAUACUAAUAUAAACACCAUUUCUUUUAUUCUUAGUUUUUUUAGUGAUUAACGUGGUUUUAAUUAUCGUUAGAUCACGUGGGUGUUUAUAUGAAAUGCUUGAAAUCGUCACGCAGGACAAAAAAAAAAAAGAAAAAGAAAAGGAAAUGAAGAGUAUAUAUAUAGAGGAAACAACUAGUGAGAGUGAUAUUAAUAUUUAGAGUAGGUAAAGAUAGUAUUAUAUAGUCGCAUAUGCGACCUUGUACAUUACCACUAACUCUAAAACUAGGAUAACUCCAACAAUGAAUAGUACCGCUAUGGAUUUUUAACAUUCAUUUUUAUUCUGUCGACAUCACUAUUUCCCUUCCAUUAGCUGAUCCCAACUUCCAUGACCACACUUCACUUAAUGCUGCAAAUGCAACCACACCAAACAAAACAUUCAUAAAUUAAUAAAUCAAUUGCCAUAAGCGAUAAACUUUGGGUCAUUUUCUUUUUCCGUAAUUUCAAAGAAACCUAGUUUAAAUUAGAUACGAACCUUUUGCAGUCAGUGGAAGGGCUGAUCUUGUAAGGGAUGUUGAUACCGCACUUGCCUGGGAGUCCGGCUGCAGUGCUAUAGUUGAUGCCAGAAAUGCCGGUGGCCGCACUUUUGAUGCAGCUGCAAGCUGCUUGCCGGUCUGGUGUUGUUUUGGCGGCAGAGUUGAGAGAUCUGAUGCCGUUGCAGCAAGCUGGGGGAG